rnacentral:rRNA from 1 species
CCUACGGGUGGCAGCAGUGAGGAAUAUUGGUCAAUGGACGCAAGUCUGAACCAGCCAUGCAGCGUGCAGGAUGACGGCCCUAUGAGUUGUAAACUGCUUUUGUACGAGGGUAAACGCAGGUACGUGUAUCUUUUUGCAAGUAUCGUAUGAAUAAGGAUCGGCUAACUCCGUGCCAGCAGCCGCGGUAAUACGGAGGAUUCGAGCGUUAUCCGGAUUUAUUGGGUUUAAAGGGUGCGUAGGCGGUCGGAUAAGUUAGAGGUGAAAUCCCGAGGCUCAACUUCGGAAUUGCAUCUGAUACUGGGCGGCUAGAGAGUAGCUGCGGUAGGCGGAAUGUAUGGUGUAGCGGUGAAAUGCUUAGAGAUCACACAGAACACCGAUUGCGAAGGCAGCUUACCAAGCUACUUCUGACGUUGAGGCACGAAAGCGUGGGUAGCAAACAGGAUUAGAUACCCUUGUAGUC